rnacentral:misc_RNA from 1 species
GAUGAAGAACGUAGCGAAAUGCGAUACUUGGUGUGAAUUGCAGAAUCCCGUGAACCAACGAGUCUUUGAACGCAAGUUGCGCCCGAAGCCAUUAGGCCGAGGGCACGCCUGCCUGGGCGUCACACGUCGUUGCCCCCCCAUCUACUCCUUCGGGAUUGCGGGGGGCGGAUGAUGGCCUCCCGUGCGCCUCGUCGCGCGGUUGGCAUAAAUGCCAAGUCCUCGGCGACGCACGCCACGACAAUCGGUGGUUGCGAAACCUCGGUUGCCCGUCGUGUGCGGUCGUCGCGCAUCGAGGGCUCGAAAAAAUUGCCGGGCUCCGGCUCGGCUUUCAACGCGACCCCAGGUCAGGCGGGGUUACCCGCUGAAUUUAAGCAUAUCAAUAAGCGGAGGA